rnacentral:lncRNA from 1 species
UAAACAUUCCAUUGGAAAAAACUAAACAAUUUGUUAUAAAACAUCCUUAAAAGCAUCAGAAAGUUAAUACAGCAACAAAGAAUUACAGGACCAAAUUAAGAAUGGUAUGGAAGCCUGUUUGUGGGGCUUAUGUUUGGGUUAUCUCUUUACUUAGAGUGACUAUAAAUCUCAAAAGAGAACUAAAGGGAUAAAUAACCAUAUGUACUAACAUGGUCUGCCAGCAACAACUUCAGUUAAUAUUUCUGUUUAUCUGGGUGCUGUCAUCUAUAUGAUCUCAGUAUUUUAAAAAUCAGCUUCCAGCCCAUAUGGUGGCUCAUGCUUGUAAUACCAGCAGUUGAAGAGGCUGAAAUGAGAGGAUUCCUUGAGCCCAGGAGUUCAAGGAGUUCAAGAGAAACCUGGGCAACAUGGCAAGACCCAGUCUCUAUCAAAAGUUAAAAAAAAAAGGUGGGCAUAGUGAUGUGCACCUGUUGUCCUAGCAAUUUGGGAGGCCAAGGUGGAAGGAUUGCUUGAGCUUGGGAGGUUGAAUCUACAGUGAGCAGUGAUUGCACCACUGCACCCCAGCCUGGGCAACAAAGCAAGACCCUAUCUCAAAAAAUAUAUAUAAUAAAAAUAAAAAUCAGCUCUUAUUGAUUUCUACAUAAAUAUGCACAGGUGAUGUCCAUGUAGACAUAAAUACUAAUAUAUCUGACAAUGGGUCCAUAUGAUCUUCAAAAUGUAAAAUGCCUAUCUGUGUAAUUGACUGCUUAGUCUCAUUAAUGUAUAUAGAUUCAAUUCUACUUUCUUGUUCUAGAUAAAUUAUAUAAUCUAGCUUUUCAUUUCACUUAUUUACUGAUAACAACAGGAAGAAUGACAAGAUAUCUACUCUGGAAAAUUACUCUGGUAGGAGUAAAGAUGAAACGAUAGAAUUGCAUGGAAAACUAGAAAAAAGUAUGGUCUUCUGAUAUUCUAUCACAUCAUAUACAAAAGGCCUCAUAAAACUCAGAUAUUUUAUCUAAAAAUGUUAUUUUCAUCUUAGGGAUGAUCAAAGCAUGAGACUAGAAUUGUAUUACAAUGACUCUCACAAGCACAUGUGCUAAAAAGGAGGGGAAAACAUCAUUACUGAUAUUUUAUACGUAUGUUUUACUUUCCAUCAACAUGAACCUCAACUUGAUAUGAUGCAGAUUGAAGGAAAUCACCCAUAAUUCCAUAUGAAGAAGGCCUGUGAUAUUUUAUGGGAAAAUAGAUAGAGAAAAUGCUAACAGAAACCCUAUUAAGCAUUAAGAUUUAUGGAGCAAAUACAAAUCCAGUGGUGAAAGAUACACACUUGAGUUCUGUUUGUUGUCUUGGAACAAUAUGGUUUAGAGGUGACUGGUGG